AGAGUUUGAUCCUGGCUCAGAAUCAACGCUGGCGGCGUGCCUAACACAUGCAAGUCGAAUGAGAAAGAGGGGGCAACUCCUUGAGUAAAGUGGCGACCGGGUGAGUAACACGUGACUAACCUACCCUAGAGUGGGGGAUAACCUUCCGAAAGGAGGGCUAAUACCGCAUAAACUCGCGAGGUGAAAAUCCUCGUGAGCAAAGGAGCAAUUCGCUCAUGGAGGGGGUCGCGGCUGAUUAGCUAGUUGGUGAGGUAACGGCUCACCAAGGCGAUGAUCAGUAUCCGGCCUGAGAGGGCGCACGGACACACUGGAACUGAAACACGGUCCAGACUCCUACGGGAGGCAGCAGUGGGGAAUUUUGCGCAAUGGGGGAAACCCUGACGCAGCAACGCCGCGUGGAGGAUGAAGGUCUUUGGAUUGUAAACUCCUUUCGAUCGGGACGAUUAUGACGGUACCGGAAGAAGAAGCACCGGCUAACUCUGUGCCAGCAGCCGCGGUAAUAC
rnacentral:rRNA from 1 species